GGUCUUUACACACCGGGACGUUUUUCGUGCGCGUUUAUCGUCGACGUUUAACGUCUCGUGACUCAAGAACGAGCGCCAAUGUGAGUGCGCACACCCACGCGAAAAGCGCGACGCGCAAAAGCGUCAUUUUCAGAAAAACGCCUCGGACGCGUUUUUUUGGUUUGACGCGGCGCGUUAAAAGUUGGCCGACCAAUGAGAUUGGCGCUUUUGUUCACGUGCCUGGCGCUGCUGAAGUUCCAAUAAAACACGACUUGGUGGCGCUCAAGCACAAAAUGGUCUUGCGGAGCACGUGGAACAGGUAAACACACAAAGAAGAUGCAUCGAGGCUGUGGAGGUUUAUGAAGGUGUCGGAGUUCCUCACAUCAUCAACUGAAUUUCGAAGUGUUCAUAGCAAUAUUUCUGCUAAAAUGAUGUGAGCAAAAGUGAGGAGGCCCCAGCAAGCACGUCUUCAGGAUCAUCCAGCACCAGCCGUGACAAGGUCCAA